rnacentral:rRNA from 1 species
UACGUAGGGUGCAAGCGUUGUCCGGAAUUAUUGGGCGUAAAGAGCUCGUAGGCGGUCUGUCGCGUCUGGUGUGAAAAUCCGGGGCUCAACCCCGGACUUGCAGUGGGUACGGGCAGGCUGGAGUGUGGUAGGGGAGACUGGAAUUCCUGGUGUAGCGGUGGAAUGCGCAGAUAUCAGGAGGAACACCGAUGGCGAAGGCAGGUCUCUGGGCCACUACUGACGCUGAGAAGCGAAAGCAUGGGUAGCGAACAGG